rnacentral:rRNA from 1 species
CCUAACACAUGCAAGUCGAGCGAGAAGCAGUCCUUCGGGAUUGUGGACACGGCAGACGGGUGAGUAACGCGUGGGAACGUACCCUUUGGUUCGGAACACUCCGGGAAACUGGUGCUAAUACCGGAUGAGCCCUACGGGGGAAAGAUUAUCGCCGAAGGAUCGGCCCGCGUCUGAUUAGCUUGUUGGUGGGGUAGAACCCACCAAGGCGACGAUCAGUAGCUGGUCUGAGAGGAUGAUCAGCCACAUGGGACUGAGACACGGUCCACACUCCUACGGGAGGCAGCAGUGGGGAAUUUGGACCAUGGGCGCAAGGCUGAUCGAGNCAUGCGGGGUGAGUGAUGAAGCCCUAGGGUUGGUCAGCUCUUUCGGCGGGGACGAUAAUGACGGUACCCGAUAAGAA